rnacentral:lncRNA from 1 species
AGCUUAAUUGGCUUAGUGUCGACUUCAAUAAUUGGAAAGACUGGGAAGAUGAUUCAGAUGAAGACAUGUCUAAUUUUGAUCGUUUCUCUGAGAUGAUGAACAACAUGGGUGGUGAUGAGGAUGUAGAUUUACCAGAAGUAGAUGGAGCAGAUGAUGAUUCACAAGACAGUGAUGAUGAAAAAAUGCCAGAUCUGGAGUAAGGAAUAUUGUCAUCACCUGGAUUUUGAGAAAGAAAAAUAACUUCUCUGCAAGAUUUCAUAAUUGAGAGAAUUCCUGAGUUGAUAGCUCUAAAGGCAGAUAUGCUGUAUUUGCCUACUUUAACCCAUUUUUCAACCUGUUUGUUUUUUAAAAGGCUUCACUAAGGGUUGAUAUGUACCAUUGUAUGGGGCAAUUUUAAGUCAGCUAAGGCAAUAACCUUAUGCAUGAACAUUUCCCAGACUUUCAUGAAGCUGUUGAGGUCCUAGGCAAUUAAUGCAGCAGUUGCGAUAAAUAAAAACAUCUCACCUAAGUCUCCUUUUCUUCAUAACAUAGAUACUGACAUGAUAGGAAGCUCUCAGCUUAGGGAAAGAGAAUAAAUUUUAGAUUAUAGAACAUGGAUUCAAAAGUGACUGGAACAAAUUGGCUGACACCUUACUGGUAACCUGCUAUUCUUCUGGUGUUAUCCUUCAGGAUUGUUCCACUAAAAUUUAUUUUUCAAAAAAUUUACUUCACAUUAUUCUAUGUAAGUGAUGACUUGUCAGUGUUCCAGGUGUAUCUUAGCUAAAACUAGAGAAUGCCCUAACUUAGAUGGUUUUUGAAGCCUAUACAAUUGGUAUUGUUUGACCCUUAAGCUUUUACAUCUCUUAGCAUGGAGGACGAAGAAAGCUGUACAUUGUUGCUUGAGAGUCUGUACAUUUAGUCCAGAUUUGUAUUUGCACUGUCAGUAUGGCAAAUGAGUGAAAAAUGUUUAAUACACUAUUGGAUUUUUUAUUUCCUUUUUUUGAUUCAGCUUAUACCCGGGCUGAAAACCUCAAUUUAUGUUCAUGACAGUGGGGAUUUUUUUAAAUGUCUA